UACGUAGGGGGCAAGCGUUGUCCGGAUUUAUUGGGCGUAAAGCGCGUGUAGGCGGCCACACAGGUCCGCUGUGAAAACUCGAGGCUCAACCUCGAGCUGUCGGUGGAAACCGUGUGGCUAGAGUCCGGAAGAGGAGACUGGAAUUCCCGGUGUAGCGGUGGAAUGCGCAGAUAUCAGGAGGAACACCGAUGGCGAAGGCAGCUCGCUGGGACGGUACUGACGCUGAGGCACGAAAGCGUGGGGAUCAAACAGG
rnacentral:rRNA from 1 species